AAAAAAACAAAAUUGAAGAAGAAUCAGCUUUCUGCUACAAUCUGUGUUAUUAAUCAAAGGUAGACCUAGAUGUUAAUAAUGUUAAUAAUAGAUACCGGGUAGCGUGAAACUGCUGUAUUUAUCCAAUACUUUUUCUAUCGAAAACUGCCCGAAAUGGCCAGAAUCAAAGGUUGCACGAAAAGGCAGGAAGGAGAGCUGAGGAGAGGGUGAAGAGGAGAAGGAGGAGCGGGAAGGAGAGGGGGAUGAGGAGGAGAGGGAAGGAGGCGGAGAGGAGAAGAUGGAGUGGGAAGCUUCGAAAACCUAUAAAAAUAGUACGUUUUCGGUGAUUGCCUGACGCUUACAGCUCCUUACUACUGCACGAAUAUCUCCCUCCUCACAGCCUCUGGGUCCCUUCUUCUCUCCAUGGAAAGCAGAGGAACAAUGUAUCCUUACAGUUAAAUAGAGACCUCAGAAACAGGAUGUUUGGUUUCUCCAUCAAGGAAGUCC
ensembl:lncRNA